GAUGAACGCUGGCGGCGUGCUUAACACAUGCAAGUCGAGCGGGCAAUUUAUCUAGCACUGAUUACUUCAAAUGGCUAUCGCCAGUGUAAUCAUGAAUUUCUACCUUUUAAUAAAGAAAAAAGAAAUUCAUGUACGCAAAUAGUGAUAACACAUGAAAGUGGAGUGAUGAGUGCUGGAUAAAUUGCUAGCGGCGGACGGGUGCGUAACACGUGGGUAACCUGCCCCUAUCACUGGGAUAACACACUGAAAAGUGUGCUAAUACCAGAUAACAUAAGCUUUUGGCAUCAUUAGCUUAUCAAAGAAUUUCGGAUAGGGAUGGGCCCGCGUCUGAUUAGCUAGUUGGUGAGGUAACGGCUCACCAAGGCAACGAUCAGUAGCCGACCUGAGAGGGUGAUCGACCACACUGGAACUGAGACACGGUCCAGACUCCUACGGGAGGCAGCAGUGGGGAAU
rnacentral:rRNA from 1 species